rnacentral:pre_miRNA from 15 species
GCCUCCAGGGUCUCAGGCCGGCGCCCAGGCUCUGGCUCCGUGUCUUCACUCCCGUAACCAUCUGAGGAGGGAGGGAGGGACGGGGGCUGUGCUGGGGCGGCUGGAACAGCACAGGCCACUGG